CUUCUCGUGGUGUAGUGGUAACGUGCCUGUUUAGUGAGUAUGAGUCGUGAGUCCGAGUCUCAUCGAGAAGA
rfam:Aedes albopictus isolate Foshan contig38495, whole genome shotgun sequence.